UGGAAUGACUUGGUUCCACCUCUGAACAGCCGCUCACUUGUAUUUCAACGCUGCUGUUAAUGUUAGGGUUAUUUUAGCAAAUAGUUUGUUCCAUAAAUUCAGCUCAAUGGCAUUAAGUUCAACAGGGUAGCCUAAACUUUAUCACUCGACUGAAUCUACACAUGCAUUUUAGGUGUUCUUGCUCCAUCCUUGUCUUUAGCGUAUUCUUCAACUGCUCAGGCUUUUUCGCUCUAAUGGCAUGCACCCCAGCAGAGUCGGAGCAGAACUCCUGUCAGACAACAGCUCCAGGACGCUAUGCUCCAUAUGACUACAAGCGUCUGCUAAAUGGGAGAGAGAGCAAGUGCAAAUCCUGGCAGUGACAGGUCUCAGCGCCACUUCUGGUGGCAUCCCCAGAUCCCCACAGAUUUCCUCUGGCAGCUGCCACGGUCUUUCUUGCCGUUUCUGCUGUUUGCUCGAGACUCUGCCUCCCUUGCCUUGACUGAUGGCAGAAGCCAUACAACAAACAAACAUCAGAUUUAUUCAUCUUAAAUUAUGAUCCUUGCUGCUUUGAGGUUAUGUAAAUUUUGGCAAGUUAUUUUACAUUCAUUUUAUGCAUGCAAAUGAAUAAAGUGAUAAAUGGAAAUUGGGCAGUUCAAUUAAGUAUAGAAUUUAAAUGAA